rnacentral:lncRNA from 1 species
GCAAUCUCCUAAAUAUACUGGAUCCAAAAAUUCUUCUCUUUCCCUCCUCCAAAUCCCCACCCAUCUCCUCUCACAGAUAAGAGCUCUCUAAUUCCCUCUCUGUGCUCUAUGCUGACUUUUGUGUCAUGCCACCAAGUGUUUUAAAUGCUGCUUGAUUAAAGCAAUGAACUGCAGUGAGAGUAGGCUUGCUAAUGGCUACUCCAUUUCCAAGAGCACAAUGAUUGUCUGCCUUGGCACUCAGAAGCACUUAGCAAAGCCAUGAUCAGAUACCAAGGAGAGCAGGGAUAGGAGCUGGACUGAGCUUCUUCGUCUAUUUGGUCAACAGUGGUAGAUGUGUUCUUAUCAGUGACCAAACGUCCCUGGUUUAUACCCUUGACCCCCCCCAGUUUCCUCCUCUCAGUUUUAGUUUUGUGUUAUUAUAAACUUGGAGAGACUGAACAUUGUAAGGCAGGACCAACAAAGAAGAGACAGAUGAUCCUGUCCUGCUUGUAAGUCGAGUGGGGCUGAUGCAGUGAGCUGAGUCUCUGGAUUAGGAACACGGAAUGACAAAGGAAAAUCAAGGUCCAAGAGCUCUGGAAACACAGGGUAAAGCAAGAAAAUUUCUCAGCUGUACACCCACAGAUAGUUGAAACAGUUGUCCAAAGGUUGAUGAAUAACCACCAAGAAUCAGAUACAGAGGAAGCUCUUCAAAACAAAAAAUGUCUGAAUGCUGCUUUGUUUCAGAGGCAGCUCAUGUAUGUAAGGAAAGCUCUUGCAAAAUCUCAAGCAGACACUGUCAAGCUAAAGAAAUGGCUAUAUAAACUGGUAUCUGAAUUCUCCUCUCCAUCUCACUUGCUUUAAUGAGCAAUUUGCCUGCUAUUAUUCUAUGAGAGAAAUGGAUUAAAACCUAACUACAUAAUACUGUUAAUGGAGUUGGAUGUGCAUUUUACGGCUUUGAAGCAAUGUGUUUGUCUGAGUGUUCUCACCAUCCCAGGCAGAGAGAACUAAGGAAAAAAACUCUUGGAAGAAGUUUGAGUUACAUACCAAAAUGACACCUACAGGUACGACAUUUACAUCUAUCAUCAACAGUGCUGGGUGUAUCUUUUAGUAGCACAAAAGACACUACUAAUAUUUUAUUCCACAGAUUAAAAAAAAUUAAAUUACAGAUCAUGAGGUUAUUAGUCUUCUACACAAACAUUAAAUUUCAAGGGAACAUUCAGGCCGUUGUCAGUAAAAUCAGAAUAAAUUAAUAAAAUGGUUUUUUGGUUGGGAUUUU